UACGUAGGGUGCGAGCGUUGUCCGGAAUUAUUGGGCGUAAAGAGCUUGUAGGCGGUUUGUCGCGUCUGCCGUGAAAUUUCGGGGUUCAACCCCGAACUUGCGGUGGGUACGGGCAGACUAGAGUGUGGUAGGGGAGACUGGAAUUCCUGGUGUAGCGGUGAAAUGCGCAGAUAUCUGGAGGAACACCGAUGGCGAAGGCAGGUCUCUGGGCCACUACUGACGCUGAGAAGCGAAAGCAUGGGGAGCGAACAGG
rnacentral:rRNA from 1 species